ACUAGCCCAUGAUGAAAAAAAGUUAUCCCUGUCUGAAGAUAACGUGUGGACUUUGGUAACCUGAGGCUUGU